rnacentral:rRNA from 1 species
UAAUACGUAGGGUGCAAGCGUUAAUCGGAAUUAUUGGGCGUAAAGGGUGCGUAGGCGGUUUGUUAAGACGGAUGUGAAAUCCCUGGGCUCAACCUGGGAACUGCAUACGUGACUGGCAGACUAGAGUAUGGCAGAGGGAGGUGGAAUUCCACGUGUAGCAGUGAAAUGCGUAGAUAUGUGGAGGAACACCGAUGGCGAAGGCAGCCUCCUGGGCCAAUACUGACGCUGAGGCACGAAAGCGUGGGGAGCAAACAGGAUUAGAUACCCUGGUAGUCCACGCCCUAAACGAUGUCAACUGGUUGUUGGGGAUAGCUAUCCUUAGUAACGAAGCUAACGCGUGAAGUUGACCGCCUGGGGAGUACGAUCGCAAGAUUA